rnacentral:rRNA from 1 species
UACGUAGGGUGCAAGCGUUAAUCGGAAUUACUGGGCGUAAAGCGUGCGCAGGCGGCUAUGCAAGACAGAUGUGAAAUCCCCGGGCUCAACCUGGGAACUGCAUUUGUGACUGCAUAGCUAGAGUACGGUAGAGGGGGGAUGGAAAUUUCCGCGUGUAGCAGUGAAAAUGCGUAGAUAUGCGGGAGGGAACACCCGAUGGCGAA